rnacentral:rRNA from 1 species
UGGGGAAUAUUGCACAAUGGGCGAAAGCCUGAUGCAGCGACGCCGCGUGUAGGAUGAAGGUUUUCGGAUUGUAAACUCCUGUUAAGUGGGAAGAAAGACCGCUUUCUAAUAAAAAGCGGGGAUGACGGUACCACUAGAGAAAGCACCGGCAAACUUCGUGCCAGCAGCCGCGGUAAUACGAAGGGUGCGAGCGUUAUUCGGAAUAACUGGGCGUAAAGAGUUUGAAGGCGGUUGUUUAAGUCAGUUGUUAAAUUCCCCGGCUUAACUGGGGAUCGGCAGUUGAUACUGGACGACUAGAGUGUGGGAGAGAAGGGUAGAAUUCUCGGAGUAGCGGUAAAAUGCGUAGAUCUCGAGAGGAAUACCGGUUGCGAAGGCGGCCCUUUGGCCCACAACUGACGCUUAAGAACGAAAGCGUGGGGAGCAAACAGG